rnacentral:rRNA from 1 species
CAGUCGCCGCGGGAAUACGAAGGGGGCUAGCGUUGCUCGGAAUGACUGGGCGUAAAGGGCGCGUAGGCGGAUUGUUUAGUUAGGCGUGAAAUUCCUGGGCUUAACCUGGGGACUGCGCUUAAUACAGGCAGUCUAGAGUGAGGAAGAGGGUUGUGGAAUUCCCAGUGUAGAGGUGAAAUUCGUAGAUAUUGGGAAGAACGCCGGUGGCGAAGGCGGCAACCUGGUCCUUGACUGACGCUGAGGCGCGAAAGCGUGGGGAGCAAACAGGAUUAGAGACCCCUGUAGUCCCUGUCUCUUAUAC